GUCAAGAUGCCCGAGUUGGUCUAAGGCGCCAGUUUCAGGUACUGGUCGGAAAGGGCAUGGGUUCGAAUGUAGAUUCAGCAUCUUCGUCUAUCAACAGAUGUGAUGUCUUCUCAGCUUAAGGUGCUGAUCACAGCGACAUGGAUUCAGUGAGUCCCAUUCUCGACA